GAUGAACGCUGGCGGCGUGCCUAAUACAUGCAAGUCGAGCGAAUGGAUUGAGAGCUUGCUCUUAUGAAGUUAGCGGCGGACGGGUGAGUAACACGUGGGUAACCUGCCCAUAAGACUGGGAUAACUCCGGGAAACCGGGGCUAAUACCGGAUAACAUUUUGAACCGCAUGGUUCGAAAUUGAAAGGCGGCUUCGGCUGUCACUUAUGGAUGGACCCGGGUCGCAUUAGCUAGUUGGUGAGGUAACGGCUCACCAAGGGAACGAUGCGUAGCCGACCUGAGAGGGUGAUCGGCCACACUGGGACUGAGACACGGCCCAGAAUCCUACGGGAGGCAGCAGUAGGGAAUCUUCCGCAAUGGACGAAAGGCUGACGGAGCAACGCCGCGUGAGUGAUGAAGGCUUUCGGGUCGUAAAACUCUGUUGUUAGGGAAGAACAAGUGCUAGUUGAAUAAGCUGGCACCUUGACGGUACCUAACCAGAAAGCCACGGCUAACUACGUGCCAGCAGCCGCGGUAA
rnacentral:rRNA from 1 species